rnacentral:rRNA from 1 species
AACGAACGCUGGCGGCAGGCUUAACACAUGCAAGUCGAACGCCCCGCAAGGGGAGUGGCAGACGGGUGAGUAACGCGUGGGAACGUGCCCUUCGCUUCGGAAUAGCCCCCGGGGAAACUGGGAGUAAUACCGGAUACGCCGUAUUGGGAAAGAUUUAUCGGCGAAGGAUCGGCCCGCGUUAGAUUAGCUAGUUGGCGGUGUAAUGGACCACCAAGGCUACGAUCUAUAGCUGGUCUGAGAGGAUGAUCAGCCACACUGGGACUGAGACACGGCCCAGACUCCUACGGGAGGCAGCAGUGGGGAAUCUUGGACAAUGGGCGAAAGCCUGAUCCAGCCAUGCCGCGUGAGUGAAGAAGGCCUUAGGGUUGUAAAACUCUUUCGCCGGUAGAAGAUAAUGACGGUAUCCGGAGAAGAAGCCCCGGCUAACUUCGUGCCAGCAGCCGCGGUAAU